rnacentral:rRNA from 1 species
GUGGGGAAUUUUGGACAAUGGGCGCAAGCCUGAUCCAGCAAUGCCGCGUGCAGGAAGAAGGCCUUCGGGUUGUAAACUGCUUUUGUACGGAACGAAACGGCUCUGGUUAAUACCCGGGGCUAAUGACGGUACCGUAAGAAUAAGCACCGGCUAACUACGUGCCAGCAGCCGCGGUAAUACGUAGGGUGCGAGCGUUAAUCGGAAUUACUGGGCGUAAAGCGUGCGCAGGCGGUUUUGUAAGACAGGCGUGAAAUCCCCGGGCUCAACCUGGGAAUGGCGCUUGUGACUGCAAAGCUGGAGUGCGGCAGAGGGGGAUGGAAUUCCGCGUGUAGCAGUGAAAUGCGUAGAUAUGCGGAGGAACACCGAUGGCGAAGGCAAUCCCCUGGGCCUGCACUGACGCUCAUGCACGAAAGCGUGGGGAGCAAACAGGAUUAGAUACCCGUGUAGUCC